CUACCCCCACCUCUCUAGCUGCCCCCAGAGUAGCCCACUUGAGAGGUCCAUCAGAAAAACAACCAAUAAUAAAAAAGCCCCAGCUCCUGGGGGGAGGGGUCUACAGUGUAUCUUUAAUAAUAGAUUCAUAAUAUAUAUAAGUUCCAAAUUCAUUAAGAUUUAUUUAAUACAGUUUUAUAUUAAACAAGGAUUAAUACUUUGUAAUUAAUUAAAAAUAAAACCUUUAUUUUAAUAUCUAUAAGAAAAUCAAGGAUAAACUUGAACAUAAAUUUAUAAUAAAAAUAUUUGAAUAUAAAUUUAUUCAUUCUCAAUAAUACAUGGAUAUAGAUUCAUCAUAAGUUAUUGUAAGCUCCUUUAUUUAAUUUUUUAUUUAUAUAUUUUAUAAAAUAUUUAAAAAAUUAUAUUUUAUGAGUCUAUUCUAAAAUAUUUAUGCAAGUUAAUUUUAUAACUUGCACAUUCUUGAAUCUCUUAUCAUUCCUAAGAACUUAAAAAGAAAAAUAAAAAAACUCUAAUAGAUAUGAGUUUGAUUCUAUCUUCUUUAUACAACUUGAAAACCAACAUUGCAAGUCUAAAAGUGGCAAACAAAUAUAAUAGUCACGGUACGUUUAGCAUCAUACUUGCUAUUCAAAUGGGAGAGAUGGAGUCUAAACUGGAAGCUCUUGUGAUUCCGGUGUGAGAUUAAAAUAAGUCUUAAAUAUGACAAAUAAGUUGGCUACUCGACCACUUGCUUGGUAAAGAAGAUGGUGAUAUAGUUGUUGCAAAUAGUCCCAUGCCAUCUUUGCUGCAAGGAAAACCCAUAAAACAAGCAGCAACCAUCCAAAUAUUGGAACUAAAAUCAACAACAAUAAGAUUGGGGCAAUUGUACCAGACAGGAGACGACUGACCCCAAUAAUCCCAAUUCAAAACCUUUUACCAACAAUAACUACUCCGACGUAGAUGGAUAUAGCAACAAUAAAAGUCGAUAUAAUGGCAUUAUAUUUUUGAAAUAUUGGAGAAACACCAUUUCCUUGAAACAUCACUUGGAUAAGGGUGCCCAACAUUGCAAGGAAAAGUACAUAGGCUUGAAAUGCAAUUGAGGGAUUUAAUCCUUUCUCUUGCUUACUAUGAUGCCAAGAAAAUGAAGUUACUUCCAUUCAUAAUCACAUUUAAUGAUACGAGUGUUUAAUUGGCAAGUUAUUAAUACUGAACAAAUGCUUUUGUUAUGAUAAUUUUUUAUAACCAAGUUUUGAGAUCAUUUUGAGCGUAAAUCAAUGUUCGAAACCCUACAAGCCAGGGUUAAUGAAAUUCCCAUUUUAAGAAAUAUUGGUGGAAAUUUUGAUAAAAAAGAUCGAUAAAUAUGAUAUUAGAUAAUAAAAUAUAAAUUAAAUGAGAUUUACACAACUACAUAUGAAUACUCAUUUUUUUUAAUUUUAAAAUGUUUAUAAUUUUAUUUAUACAUUUAUAUAAUUUUUUAUUUAACUCAUAAUUUUCGUAUUUCAAUAAUAAAUAAAAUAAAAUAAUUAAAUUAAUGAAUUUAUAAAAAUAAAAUUUAAUAUCUUAUUUUUUUAUAAAUUCAUAUAAAAUUGAGAAGCACGUAUGGUAUAUAUAAUAUACAGAAUACCAAUUGUAAGAAUGGAAUGGUUUCUCAUUUGACUGCAUCGCACUCUUGCACCUGAGAGAACCAGGUUCAAGUCCUAGUCCUACUGUUACAUUUGCACGCCACACCCGCUGAAAGAAUUGGAUUAUCCGAAAAACGGGAAAAUCCCGAGAAAUUCCGAAAACAAGCUCCACACGCCGAAAAGUCCCGAAAAAUGUUCGAUUUCGAGGAUAUAUCGCCGAAUAUCGCACUACAUUUUUCUCCUUUUAUCAAUAACUACAUCACAACACACAAGAUCAUCGAACAAAUCAUUCUACCCACUCAAGAAAAAUUAACAGCUGAUUUUAAUCAGGAUAUAUAUAAACACCCACGGACGCUAACAUCGAUUUCCUUAAGGGUAGAAAAUGUGAAAGCAAAUGCUUCUCUUCAUCUUCUUCUUCAACACCAGAAAAACAAGACUCUGAAAAUUGGAUUUUUAUAAGAGACGUAGUUAUAUACAUAUAUAGAGUAGAAACUUGAACAAUAUUCCGUUCUUCCCUAAAUCAAAAGUUUUCAAAUCCAACUUUGAAAGGAAGCAUGAUCAUAGGCACAUGUACACACAUGGAGUAGAAAUUGAACACAUUAUGUUGUUAAACCUUACCUGGGAUUCUGCGGCUCCAUAGUGGGUUCCAUCUCUGUUGGAGAGUACUCGCCUCUGGUUCUUACUGCUUGGACAAUGGUGCGGCUUCAUUCUACAUAAAGCCGACUUGGUGGGAGAAACAUGCCUUCACCCUACAUAAAACUGGCUUGGUGGGUCUCCUCUACAUACCCACGACUUCGGUCUAUAUAAAGCCGGCUUUGUGGGAGAAACACGGCUUCAUU
rnacentral:lncRNA from 1 species